rnacentral:rRNA from 1 species
GAUGAACGCUAGCGGCAGGCUUAACACAUGCAAGUCGAGGGGUAUUGGUUUUCGGACCAAGAGACCGGCGCACGGGUGCGUAACGCGUAUGCAAUCUACCUUUUGCAGAGGGAUAGCCCAGUGAAAUUUGGAUUAAUACCUCAUAGUAUAGUACUUUGGCAUCAAGGAACUAUUAAAAGUCACAACGGCAAAAGAUGAGCAUGCGUCCCAUUAGCUAGUUGGUAAGGUAACGGCUUACCAAGGCUACGAUGGGUAGGGGUCCUGAGAGGGAGAUCCCCCACACUGGUACUGAGAC